rnacentral:rRNA from 1 species
UACGUAGGGGGCUAGCGUUGUCCGGAAUCAUUGGGCGUAAAGAGCGUGUAGGCGGCCCGGUAAGUCCGCUGUGAAAGUCGGGGGCUCAACCCUCGAAUGCCGGUGGAUACUGUCGGGCUAGAGUGCGGAAGAGGCGAGUGGAGUUCCUGGUGUAGCGGUGAAAUGCGCAGAUAUCAGGAGGAACACCAAUAGCGAAGGCAGCUCGCUGGGACGGUAUUGACGCUGAGGCGCGAAAGCGUGGGGAGCAAACAGG